UACGUAGGGAGCAAGCGUUGUCCGGAAUCAUUGGGCGUAAAGCGCGCGUAGGUGGCCUCAUAAGUCCGCUGUGAAAGUCAAAGGCUCAACCUUUGAAAGCCGGUGGAUACUGUGAGGCUAGAGUCCGGAAGAGGCGAGUGGAAUUCCUGGUGUAGCGGUGAAAUGCGCAGAUAUCAGGAGGAACACCGAUGGCGAAGGCAGCUCGCUGGGACGGUACUGACGCUGAGACGCGAAAGCGUGGGGAGCAAACAGG
rnacentral:rRNA from 1 species